rnacentral:rRNA from 1 species
GAUGAACGCUGGCGGCGUGCCUAAUACAUGCAAGUCGAGCGAACAGAUGCGGAGCUUGCUCCCCCGACGUUAACGGCCGACGGGUGAGUAACACGUGGAUAACCUACCUAUACGACUGGGAUAACUUCGGGACACCGGAGCUAAUACCGGAUAAUAUAUUGAACCGAAUGGUUCAAUAGUGAAAGACGGUUUUGCUGUCACUUAUAGAUGGAUCCGCGCCGCAUUAGCUAGUUGGUCAGGUAACGGCUUACCAAGGCAACGAUGCGUAGCCGACCUGAGUGAGUGGUCUGCCACAGUGGAACUUAGACACGGUCCUGACUCCUGCGGGAGGCACCAGUAGGGAAUCGUCCGCAAUGGGCGAAAGCCUUACGGGACAACGCCGCGUAAGGGAUGAAAGUCUUCGAAUCGGAAAACUCUGUUAUUAGGGAAUAACAAAUGUGUAAGUGACGAUGCACGUCUUGACGGUACCUAAUCAGAAAGCCACGGCUAACUACGUG